rnacentral:rRNA from 1 species
UACAGAGGUCUCAAGCGUUGUUCGGAUUCAUUGGGCGUAAAGGGUGCGUAGGCGGCGCGGUAAGUCGGGUGUGAAAUCUCGGAGCUUAACUCCGAAACUGCAUUUGAUACUGCCGUGCUUGAGGACUGGAGAGGAGACUGGAAUUCACGGUGUAGCAGUGAAAUGCGUAGAUAUCGUGAGGAAGACCAGUGGCGAAGGCGGGUCUCUGGACAGUUCCUGACGCUGAGGCGCGAAGGCCAGGGGAGCAAACGGG